UACGGAGGGUGCGAGCGUUGUCCGGAAUCAUUGGGCGUAAAGGGCGCGUAGGUGGCCCGGUCAGUUCGUGGUGAAAGCGCGGGGCUCAACCCUGCGUCGGCCAUGAAUACUGCCGCGGCUGGAGCACUGUAGAGGCAGGCGGAAUUCCGGGGUGUAGCGGUGGAAUGCGUAGAGAUCCGGAAGAACACCGGUGGCGAAGGCGGCCUGCUGGGCAGUUGCUGGACACUGAGGCGCGACAGCGUGGGGAGCAAACGG
rnacentral:rRNA from 1 species